rnacentral:lncRNA from 1 species
CUGAAGUGCUUGAACCCCACAGUAGGCGAAAGAGUACUCAAGCCAUUUGGGAAGCUUAAAACUCUUGUGGGAAAGGUUCCUAUGAUAGGACAGCGUAAUACCCAAUAGACCAGUCACCGCAUAGAGGGCCAUGGCAAGCCAAAAGGCACUCCAGUUGAACACAAAAGGGGCGAAUACACUCAGAAAAUGCAUUGCCAAAAUAACUCCGGCUGUGCCCACAUCCAAAGAAUUCCACUUCCU